CAUUGACUUAAAUCAUCAUUUUUCAAAUACAAAUAAAUUCUUUGUUUCCAACUUAUUUCCACAGAUACAGAGGAAGGUAUUCAUUAUGGAUCCAUCUCCUUCCAGCCUAAAGCAACUGGUGGCAACAGCGAUAAUACACUGUCCUCCAAUCAAGCAUCAGGCACUAACCUUGUUUCUUCAAAGGAAGAUGAGUCUGUUAUCUAUGCUGAAACAGCAAAAACAUAAACAUGAAGAGAGUGGAAAGUAAAGGCUUGGACUUUGACAAGCGCAACGUUGCCAUUUUUGGAAUUGAAUUUUUUACUU